CUCGCUUCGCCAGCUUCCUCAUUUUUCUGCUGCUCACUUCUUUCUUUCUUCUUUUCAACUGUUUUCAAGCACGCUUUAGACUUUAAAUAUUUCUUUUGCUCUACUUUCAUCUCCAAUGUACCUACACAUAAAAUAGACUCCAUUAUGCACAAAUAAAGUGUAGUUUAACAUUAAAGCACAUAAAAUGUAAGAAUAUACUAAAAUAUGAAAUUAUAGCCAUACAUCAACAUCCAAGGGUUCAAACUACAAUAUCACUUGGUCAAUUCAUUACUUAAAUCGGAUCAUGUUUCUUUUUUAAUUUUAUCCGCAGUGUGCAUAACGAUAGAAAUGUAUUAAGAUGUACUGACACUCUUCUUUCUUUAAAAAAUUAAAUUGCUAUUGCCAGUCGCCAGAUUAUGUGUGGUUAAGUAGCCUUACUAGUUACAUUAGAAAAUUUAAGUAGAUGCAAUCUAAGGCUGGAUAUCAUAAUAUAUCAAUCAAAAUGAAUAAAUGAUGCUUGUUCCCACAACAAAGUACCCGCAAUAUCCCACAUCAUUGUUAAGAUUCAUACAUCCGUUAAGAUAAUAUGUUAUGUUUGGUUAGAGAAUGUUGUUUUCACAAUCUUAUCGCUAUAUUAGCCUUAUUGUAUGAUUAUUAUCAUGUAUGUAUGACUAAAUUCCAAAUUAAAGGAUGAUUAUCUACCUACGAUCAGGGCGAAGCCAUCUUUUGCUAAUGGCCCUCGUCUCAAUAUUACGAAAAUUAUACUAUAUUAUAAGUAAAAUAUUAGAUUUUAGAUAUAUAUAACAUAUAUUGAACACCCUUUGUCAGCAAACUUUUUUACUUCUUUCAAGUUUUAAUACCCUUAAAAGAAAUUCUGGCUUCGCCACUACCUACAGCUACGACCUCUUGCAUGUAUUCUUCUCGCAAAAGUUUGUCUAAUAUUAAGAAAAUUAAACAUAGCUGUAGUUGUUAUAAUCUCUAACUCUUGAAAUGUGACUUAAUCACCGCAUAUGUACUGUCCCAAUUAGCGCUAGCGCUGCACAUUACACAUACUCAAACAAAUGCAACUAUUUCCUUAAAUAUACCAUUAUCACAAAAUAGACAUAAGAUGGUGACAAAAUGACAACAAAUAUACCAUUUUACAUCUAAUUAUAUUCUUUAAAAAAUGAGAAACCAGUAAGAUUAAUCACAAUAGGAAUUCUCAUUGAAGAUCAGACACAAGUUAAAGGUCCAAAAGCCAAACAUACAUGCCAGACAACAACUACUGAGAAUAAAAAGUUUCAGACACUUGAAAUGACAUGAUAAACAAUGACCUCAAGAAUCCAUAACAAAUGCCAGAUUCACCCACAAGAUUAAUUCCCUUCACCUAAUCUACUUAAACAAGCUCCCUACUAUUUCUUCUUGAUGUUAUAACUUUCCGAUUUCUCGAAAUUCCCUCCACCCGCCGCCUGUGCUGCUUUCCUUGCCGCCUUUUCUUGAAGUGCCUUUGCAUCCCUGUUGAGAUAUUAAACACAACAUCCGUGUUAGGAACACAAGCUAAUCGCCCUAAAACACGAGACUUUUGGAGAAAAUUGGCGAAGGAGGAACCUUUCUCGUCUUUGUUCAGGAGUUAAUCCAUCAUUCUUAGGUUGCUUGGUCUUGUGAUUUUCCCUGGCUUGAGCCCUUUCACGAUAUCUAUCUCUCUGGUUCCCGCGUUAGCUUAAGUUAAGGUCAAAACAGGUAGGGAUCGAAUUAAAGUAUGGCAACAUCUAACCAAAGAGAAGGAAAAAAAAACUAAUCUUUGGACCCCAUAGCUGAAGGUAAGAUCACGAGCUUAUGAAGAAUGAAAAUUUAAACUUGACGAAUCCAACCUUUAAAGUUCUUAGCACUGAAUUCAUUGUAUUUUUUUAAUUAUGAAUUCAAAAUUUAAUAUUCAUUGAUAUUUUAAUAACUUUUCACAUAUAUAUUCCCCGUAGAAAAUAGUGGUUCACUUGAACUCACUUUAUAUAGGCUGCAUUCGCCUCUUAUCUGAAGUAUUAUCAAUAUGAGAGAUCACAAUUGAAAGGGCUCAAAUUAAAUCCCCCGACCCCACCUGAUUUCUUAGCAACCAGACGAAUGGAGAAAGAAUCUUGUUUAUCGUUUGACAAAAAUAUGCAUGAAUGUCAGAAAGAUCAUGUUAUGAAAGAAUGGUUAAUUAAAUAGUACGAGAUAUUAUACUUUUAACAAAGGCUCUAUUUUUAGAUUCUUCCCCCAAUUUCUAGGCAACCAACCAAAAGGAUCAAAUGAGCUUGUACAUGAAUAAGCACCAAUAGAAAAAAUAAGAGCUUACCCCAGAAAAAGUUCUAUCUUGAGAUAAUAGUAAGGUUGCGCACGCACUAUCCUCCUCGUACCCCUUAUGGGAUUACACGGGGUUUGUUAUUGUUGUACUCUUACCCGGCGGCGGAGGCAGAAUUUUUGCUAAGGGGUUCAAAAUAGAAAAGUUAAAAAAUUAAAAAAGAAUGUGGCCAGAAUUGAACCAAGGAUCUCUUACAAAGGUUUUGAACCCGAGCUAUGCUUUUGGACAAUAUGAAGGAGAUUCAAAAUAAAAUAUAUAAAGUCAUAAAAUAGAUUUUGCCUUAUAUGUAAAGUGUAAUUUUUCGACGGCAGUAUCAGAGUAAAUCACUUUCCGCCCUCCUAAAUCCGCCCUUACCCAAUUUUAGGCAAACAACCCAAAAUAACUAAAAUCUAAGCGACCAAACAAAUGAAAAAAGAAAGAACCUUGUUUAUGAAAAGGGAAAGAAAAAACCGAUGAAGAUUAGCAUGAAGAAAAUCAGAGAAAAGAAACAUAUCAGAAGGAUAUGAGACAUUCCCAAUUCUCCAACAGCCAAACAAAAUUAGAUGGAUAAAUAGCUCUAGACAAGAUCCUGGAACCAAAACACAAACCAAAAAAAAAAAAAAAGGAGGAAAUUUUAGAAGAAAAGAAAACCAUCACCGAAUUACACCCUAACAGAACCGAACGAAAUUGACAGAUGAGAAAUAAUAAUUCGUGUAAAAGAAAUUGGGGUUUAUCUGAUUGAGCUUGGAUUAGAAGUUGUUUGCUUAAGAUCGACCUUGAAAUUUGAGAACAAACUUCAAAGCAGCAGAAUGAUAUUGAGAAGUUGGGUUAUUUGGAAAUGCCAGGGUUUAGGGAAGUAGGUGAUUUAUAGUGUAAGAUCAGAAGCAUCGAGAAGUCACGGUUUCUCUUUUUCCUCUUCACGUUUUAUUCCACUGAGCGUAUAAAAUGUGAGGUUAGACAAAAUUUUAGCUUUAGAAACUUCUGCGAGUAAUUUGUUUCCGAAGAUACAAAUGAAAGGGAAAGUUGCAUAAUUGGAUGUUUUGUAUUGAUGAAAAAUAAAUUUAUCAUUUGGACAAAUUGAAUCUCGAUAUGUAUCAAGAAUAUUAAGUGAAAAUAGCAUGACCUAGUUACUUUUUGGAUCGGUAACCAAAAAAUAAUCAGCAUUUGCAAAC
rnacentral:lncRNA from 1 species